rnacentral:lncRNA from 1 species
UUGUAUCAUCACACCUUACUCCUGUCUCUUGCUGAUAUCGUAACUGAGGCUGGUGAACCAUGAAUACCAAGAGCAUUGUAUUCCUGCUGGUGCUGGUGAUCGUGGCCGUCACCGUUGUCAAUGGAAGCAUCAAGUAUCCCUGCCCACAAGUCAACGGGUUUUGUGUAAGUUUUUGUAGUUACGGACAAGAAAUAUCUACCGGCAUCUGCUACGGCAAUAAUAUAUGUUGCAGGGUAAAACAGCCUUACCACUAGUCCACAACAGUGGCCAGUCCUGACGGACGCCACCAUGACCUCCUAUAAGAAGACACCCUCAACUGUGUUUGGUGAUCAUCGACGAAAUUUCUGUACAUGCGAUUAGAGAACUUGCUUAACCUAUGAUUCUUUUUUUAAGCAUUUGAAUUCUGCAACAACCUUUAUUUUCUUCUUCUUGCACAUUUUAAGAAAUGAUGAAGAAUAUUAGUAAAAUUUAAUUUAACUUGA